rnacentral:rRNA from 1 species
UACGUAGGGGGCGAGCGUUGUCGGAAUCAUUGGGCGUAAAGCGCGUGUAGGCGGCUUGGUAAGUCCGGUGUGAAACCUUGGGGCUCAACCCCAAGCCUGCACUGGAUACUGCCUCGCUUGAGUCCGGGAGGGGAGAGCGGAAUUCCUAGUGUAGCGGUGAAAUGCGCAGAUAUUAGGAAGAACACCGGUGGCGAAGGCGGCUCUCUGGAACGGUACUGACGCUGAGACGCGAAAGCGUGGGGAGCGAACGAGG